CUUUAAAAACAAAGGAUAAUACGGUGAAAAAGGCAACAUUCUGCAAAGUCAGCCGACAGACAGCUUAACUGUAUUGUCCGUGUGCAUACGGACUACCACUGACUUUCCCCUGUAUAUAUUGCGCAGCAUCUUUGUUCGCGUAUCAGACUUUAGCCUGAGACCACAUUAAAUGAUGUAUCGACUGCUGUUGGCUGUGGUGGGUUUAGCUAACCUUCCUUAUAUUCGCACCUGUUGCUCCCCAGAUGUUCUCCAAGGCAAUGCCAUGUAUUAUGGAUAUAUGGUCGAGGAAAAGAGUCUUAUCAGAAUAUGGUAAAAUUUUACUACGAUGCGGAUAAAAAGAAAAUAGCAACGAUAACAACCAAUAUGGGGAACAGGACAGGACAGGUCAGAGAUAUAUACGACUUCGCCGCAGGGAAACGUUACGUCAUAACCGACAACAGCUCCUGUAACGUCACGAAACUGAAACGUUCCUUCGAAAAGAUCUGCGUUCCGUCUAGCGCAAAGUUUAUGGGUUCCGCUGACCUCGGAAACAGCGAGGCCAAAAUGAGCGUCGAUAUGUACAGAUUGAAAGUUAAAAAAGGUAAAAUGUCUGGCGAGGCGGACAUAAUGGUGACGCCGAUGGACGGUGGGAAGUGUACCUUGGUAGGAGUAGUGAUGAGCGGGGGAAAGGACGGAGAAAUUCAGAUGACGGAAACCUCUGUUUAUAUGAACUUUACGUUUGAAAUAUCUGACAAAUCUGUAUUCCAACCACCGAAGCAGUGCUAUAGGAACAACGAAAGCGAAAGCCUCCUGUUUGAAGUUUUAGGAGGAAUCCGAAGAGAAAUUUACAUCUUUUAGAAUCCAAAAA